CCUCCAGCCCCAAUAGUGACGCGCUCUCUGCCUUUCACCAGGCGCCCAAGCCUGACGAACAGAAAGGCAAACCAAUGAGAUUGGACGCCUCGCAGACGAAAGCCAAUAAAAAUAUCGCCCGCGAGCAAGGGAGGCGGGCCACUGGGAAGGACAGCAAAAUUAGCUAAUAAGGUGAAGCGAUUGCAGGCGCUGUGGCUUUCCCGCCCAUUCGCGGCGUUGGUUUUCCCGCUUCUGAGACUUGUUUGGGGAGGUUAAAAUUUGGAGGAUAACUCCCAGCUAGAAAGGAAGAAAAGCUCUAAAGUGGAAUCGCCUUCCCCCGGAAGCUGUUGUAAAAAUUAAAGGAUGUAUGUGAGUGCACAGGCUCUCCAGCGAUCGUUUUUCUUCCACAGUGUUAACACAAUUUAUUUAUUUAUUUACUUUUUGA
rnacentral:lncRNA from 1 species